rnacentral:snoRNA from 1 species
CACCCCUGGCAAUGGGCAAGAGAGACACCUCAUUGGUGGUGGUGCUCUUAUAUCAGUCAGGGGCAGAGCAGACUGACAUCCUUUUGUUCAUCCUAGCUUGAUGCCUGGGUUGAUGGCCAGAGCUGUUUCAUGGCCUGGGGCACAUAA